AGUACCCUUAGGAAAAGAAAUCAACCGAGAUUCCCCUAGUAGCGGCGAGCGAACGGGGAGCAGCCCUUAAGCUGUUUAGAAUUUAGUGGAAUCCUUUGGGAAGAGGAGCGAUACAAGGUGAUAGCCCUGUACACGACGGAUUCUUUACAGUGAAAUCGAGUAGGUCGGGACACGUGUUAUCUUGACUGAAUAUGGGGGGACCAUCCUCCAAGGCUAAAUACUCGUUGUCGACCGAUAGUGAACUAGUACCGUGAGGGAAAGGCGAAAAGAACCCCGGUGAGGGGAGUGAAAUAGAACCUGAAACCAGGUGCGUACAAGCAGUAGGAGCCCUUCGGGGUGACUGCGUACCUUUUGUAUAAUGGGUCAGCGACUUAUAUUUAGUAGCAAGGUUAAGUGAAUAACGGAGCCGUAGCGAAAGCGAGUGUUAACUGCGCGUUUAGUUGCUAGGUAUAGACCCGAAACCCGGUGAUCUAGCCAUGAGCAGGUUGAAGGUUGAGUAACAUCAACUGGAGGACCGAACCCACUAACUUUGAAAAGUUAGGGGAUGACUUGUGGCUGGGGGUGAAAGGCCAAUCAAACCGGGAGAUAGCUGGUUCUCCCCGAAAUCUAUUUAGGUAGAGCCUCGGACGAAUUCCAUUGGGGGUAGAGCACUGUUAAGGCUAGGGGGUCAUCCCGACUUACCAACCCUUUGCAAACUCCGAAUACCAAUGAGAACUAUCCGGGAGACACACGGCGGGUGCUAACGUCCGUCGUGGAGAGGGAAACAACCCAGACCGCCAGCUAAGGUCCCAAAAUAUUGCUAAGUGGGAAACGAUGUGGGAAGGCAUAGACAGCUAGGAGGUUGGCUUAGAAGCAGCCACCCUUUAAAGA
rnacentral:rRNA from 1 species